UACGUAGGGUGCGAGCGUUAAUCGGAAUUACUGGGCGUAAAGGGUGCGCAGGCGGCGUCGCAAGUCAGGCGUGAAAUCCCCGGGCUCAACCCGGGAACUGCGUCCGAUACUGGCAGGCUUGAAUCCGGGAGAGGGAUGCGGAAUUCCAGGUGUAGCGGUGAAAUGCGCAGAUAUCGGGAGGAACACCCGUAGCGAAGGCGGCACUCUGGGCCGGUACUGACGCAGAGGAGCGAAAGCGUGGGGAGCAAACAGG
rnacentral:rRNA from 1 species